rnacentral:rRNA from 1 species
UACGUAGGGAGCAAGCGUUGUCCGGAAUCAUUGGGCGUAAAGCGCGCGUAGGUGGCUUCGUAAGUCCGUUGUGAAAGUCAAAGGCUCAACCUUUGAAAGCCGAUGGAUACUGCGGAGCUAGAGUACGGAAGAGGCGAGUGGAAUUCCUGGUGUAGCGGUGGAAUGCGUAGAUAUCAGGAGGAACACCUGUGGCGAAAGCGGCUCACUGGACCAUAACUGACGCUGAUGCACGAAAGCUAGGGGAGCAAACAGG